GAUGAAGAACGCAGCGAAAUGCGAUACGUAAUGUGAAUUGCAGAAUUCAGUGAAUCAUCGAGUCUUUGAACGCACAUUGCGCCCCCUGGUAUUCCGGUGGGCAUGCCUGUCCGAGCGUCAUUGCUGCCCUCAAGCACGGCUUGUGUGUUGGGCCUCCGUCCUCCUCCCGGGGGACGGGCCCGAAAGGCAGCGGCGGCACCGCGUCCGGUCCUCGAGCGUAUGGGGCUUCGUCACCCGCUCUUGUAGGCCCGGCCGGCGCUUGCCGACACAUCAAUCUUUUUUCCAGGUUGACCUCGGAUCAGGUAGGGAUACCCGCUGAACUUAAGCAUAUCAAUAAGCGGAGGA
rnacentral:misc_RNA from 1 species